rnacentral:tmRNA from 1 species
GGGGAUGUUCUGGUUUUGACAGCAGGGGAACUUGAAGUGCAAGCAUGUCGAGCGUUGAGUUGGUGGCUCGUUAAUCCCAAAGCUCAAGCCUUAACUGGCAAUAACAACUAUGCUCUCGCUGCCUGAUUUCACCAAGUGAAACGGCUUAAUCCAGCAGAUCAAGGAAUUUGCAGGACGAGAAUCUCGCAAAAAGUUUGCUUUUCGGCUUUUGAUUUCGAGGUUUCAUUUUUAGAAAAGAUAGUAUGCGCGACGCCUUUAAACGUAUGCGAAAUAUUUAAAGGCUAAGGAUAAAAGCGAUUGCUUUUUUUCCCAUUUUAUCCUGACAGACGAAAAAAAGAUAAACAUGUAGAAAACAUUUUGAUUACCUGUUUGGACGCGGGUUCGACUCCCGCCAUCUCCACAA